AUUGGGCUCUCCGGGGUAACAACGUCCCUGUUCCCAAUCCGCUCGCGUCGUCCACUUGAGGGGUCUGAGCCCGAAACUCUUCGCAUACGGGAACUCAGAAUACACAUGACCGCCAGUACAACAGAUCUGAUUUCUUUGUUUGGCCCCGCUGAUGAGAUGUAAACCUCCUGGCUUGAGAACUGAAAAUUAUCUGCCUCGGAGAGAGAAAUGAUGUCCAGACCCGGAAACGCAACGGAGGCCUUCGGAUCGCUCCCUACUGCACCCCGAGCGGAGGCUCAGCCUCCUGUGUCCAGGAAGCGAAGUCAGCAGCCGCGGCCUGCCUCUGUCUACCACAGGAGCCAGGAAGAGUUCUUGAUCCCCGAAGGUCCUCAAAAAUGGUGAUGCACAUGGUGUGUUUGACCCAAGUGAAGAUUUCAAGGUCCCUUCAGUAGCUGGAUACAUUUGCUAUGGGUCAAAGAAUUAUGGAAAGCUUGUCCACGGAACAACUUCAUUAAAUCGUUUGGUGGAUUAUGGAAGAUAACUCAGGAGCCCCAGAGGGUCAUUGUAACUCAAUGUUUUGCCGGUGAGAAAGAAACGAAUGGCGUUAAGAUAGCGUGGUGAAGGUUACGGAAGCAAAGAUUUGACCCAAAAGACUUUGAAUUGACGUGAAUUCCCAGGAGAGCAACUAGUUCUCACAGAGAACUCAGAAAUUCCUUGUAGGGAAUCAGGAAAAACCAUCUCAGGGUUAGGGACGAACCCCACUCAGCACAUGGAGCCCCAAGGAAGGACUUUGGUCGAAGUUUGGUAUCCACAGUGAUUGGACACCAAACAGCCUAAGGGCGAUCCUCUUUCUCACAGUGGCUGCUGGUAGGACAGCUUUUCUGAUGCAGAUCUGUGUUGAAGCAGCUUAAAGGGCUUGGGACCUGGCCUGUGAAAUGACUCAGUAAUAACAGCAUUUGUGGCCAAGCUUAGCAACCCGAGUUUGAUCCCCAGAAUUCACCGCGGAAGGAGAGAGUGGACUCUCUCUGACCCCUGUAGUGAGCCUUAACAUGAGUGAGUAUAUGUUCGCGCGCGCCCCGCCCCCCCCCCCCACAUGCACACACGCACUCAAA